CAUAGUGCAGCUGUGGUGAAGCCUGCGCCUCUCUCCUUGCCCAAUCCUCGAUCUCCGCAUCAUCGAUCUGGUGGUGCUUAUCCUCCCCAAUCAGGAGCUCUCUUGCAUCCCCAACCCCAAUGAGCAGCCCGUGCCUGUCCUCAUCCCCACGCACCCCGUUCCCUCCUCUGCUCCCAGUCCAGCACACCAGCAGAACCGCAUCACCGGAGGCCCUUGACCUUGAGCGCUCGUCUGGCGAGGGUGCUGCGUGCGUCGCCGACGCCGGUUGAACGGGAGGGCCAACCAUCUCCCGUUGCAACGCCCUGCGCCGCCGCUGCCCGCGCACGCCCUGUGCCGCCGCCGACGCCCACGUGCGCCCCUUCCCCAGCCAGUGAGCCACCUUUGUGUGCGCCACCACUGCCUGUGCACGCCCUGUGCCGCCGACGAUGCCAACAUGCGCCCCUGAUCCAGCCAGCGAGCAACCGCACCUCCCGUCGAGCCUUCGGGCGACGACGUGCAUCUGCCUCCUCCGCUCCGCCACUACUGCCCUGCCUCCAAUGGUAGAACUUGAACAGGAGAAGAAGGAGAGGCAGUCGGGUUCCUCUCCAAGGUCCUCCUGUAUGUAAGUGCUCUCUUGCUCCUAAUCUUGUAAUGUGUUCUCUGUAGAUUGACAUUUUGAGGUUGGAGCCUUAUCUGAGGCAUGAGGUCCACGCCAAAUCUCUUUUUAUCUGAAUACCUCUUGUCUGAGCUUGCCUAAAGAACAAGUGUUCAUUGUAGUUAAAGGAAAACGGCUUCAUAAGCUGGCAAGUCCAGAAGCCACUCAUAACCGGUUUAAUCAGCAGGGCCAUCUAAUUUUACAAUAGUGCUGUAUGAAGGAAUCAGUGCUAAACAUUUCUUAAUCCUUGUAAUUUGAAGAUCAACUAAUCAGCAGGGCCAUCUGAAUACCUCUUAUUUAAUUUGAAGAUCAUGUAAUUUGAUCUCAUGAAAUGAUGUCUUGAAACUGGUGGUCUAACAGAUUCUGAUGUGUUUCAGAAUACAUUAGUCUAUGGGCAUUAGCUAAAAGGGCAAAGUUGCUUUGUUCAUGCUUGCUUUAGUUUUUUAGUUGAUCAAAGUUGAUACUUGUCUUCUUUAAACAGACCAUUUGCUUUUUUUGCUCACCCAGGUUUCCAAUCUGAUUCAGAUAUCUUUAGCCAAACUUAGCGUAUAGGCCUCAAAGCAUAGUACUAUUUUGGGUUUAGCACCCUCUGUUUUGCUGGUGUGGAAGGAAAGCGGGGAUUGUUGCCCUCUUGGUGUUGAUGCAGUGAUGCUAUGUUCAGUAGAGGAAGCACAAUGAAGCUAUUGUGCAUAUUGUUCAGAGUAAGCUAAGAAGUUAUAAAUAUCACAUCUGAGCAUUGUAUUUUCACCAUGAGAGUCUCUCAAUGGAAGACUCUCUUUUGCAACAAGAAUAAAAUAACAUGGAGAGGAUAUUUGGAUCAGUUGCUAGAAUCUUAUGAAAAAUUAUUGCAAAUUAAUUACUGAAAAUGAAUAUCAGGUAAGUAGUGCAGUAGUGCAUCACUAGAAAUAAUAUAUUUGAUAAGUAGUGCAGUAGUAGCAACUUCGACAAAAUUAAACUUGCCUUCAAAAAUGUUUUUGUGGAUACUUGCUGGAAUGCCCCUCAAAGAUUAACUGAAGAAGUUUAUCAAUUGAGUAAUCAAUGUCAUAAAGGCAUAAAGCUGCAAAGUUUUUGAGGCCAAGAAUUGGUUCCGAUAUUUUGUCCAUGAAAUGAAACCGGUUUGAAAAAGGUUUAAAAAUGAAAUGAAAAUCAAUCUUCCAGUCCUCCAGGACUGCAGGAUCCAUCCUUUAUUUCUUUUCCUUUGUAUAUCUACCCAUCCAGUGUUUUCUUUCUUUCCUUAUUUUUUUCCUUUCUUGUUUCCUUCUGCUCCUAUUUGAUCACGGUGGAUCUCUUGCAGCGGCAACGGCAUGCAGCACGUACGCAUCAUUGUAAAGGAGGCAAAUGCGUCAGUACCUCGCACUAUGAGCAUCAACUUGUUCAUGUAGGAGCACUGGGUAUCAGAAGAGCCUUCACUUCAACUGUAUCUGCCUUCCCAAUGGGGAUUGGGGCUUCCUUGACAUGUCAAUCCCAUUGUGCUCAGUAAUCGCCAUCUGGGACGCAGAAAAUCAAGGAGCAGAUCGGGGAAAAGCCAGACGACAUUGCAUUACAACGGCUUGAAGGCGGUAUCGUUGCAAUCUUGUGCAGGUAUUAUUCGUAUCAAAUCACGAUGAUGCAUUCUUUAUGUUAUUCUAUUUUUGGCAUUCUUGUACUAUGUUAAUUGCAAUGUCUGUGGAUGAUAAGUUUGCGGUAAUUUUUUUGGGAGCUCAUGGUAUGGUGCAUAUCAAUGAGUUCAGUUUUAUAUAUCCGUGCAUUAAGAUGAAUGUAGCAAGCAUCCUCUGAUAAAUGAACUAUUUCUGCACUCAGCAAUUUUAGAAUAUGUAGUUGUGACAAAUUCCAUGGACUCAUCUGAAAUCUUCGGGUAUUCUUAUCGGUCCACGUUUUGAUUGGUUUGGAGACCAUAAAAGCACUACCAAGUGUUGACACUAGCUAACACCACUUAGAUACUAGGUUGUCAUCCCCAGCAUGGUGCCAGAGUGUACAAAGGUAUUUAUAAAUGUAAAUGCUCUCUAGAAAAUAAUCUAUUCUAUCCGCAAGCGCAUAGAUAAAACACCUCAUUGUAGCAUUUCACCAGGAUAAGUAUUCCAGGUAUCGUUAUUUAUAAUUUUGCUUAAGGGGGUAAGGAAUGAAAUUAAGAUAAGGGCAAAACCUAUCAAGGCAUAGACUAGAGAUAAACUUGCAAAAACAUGAUUACUAAUGAGAAACUCGUCACAGAGUCACUUACUUUAGCAGGGGGUAAACCAUAAAGAUAAUGAUAAUGAAUUAUAAGUUCAAGGGAUAAAUAACACAGCGAUUAGAAAAUAGACUACUCCUCAUAUAUGUAGGUGAUGUCGGAUUAGCUAGGGAAUGGAUUCUAAGUUAUCUACUAACUACUAAGUCAUAAUCUACUCUAGUUAUCUACAAGAUCAUAUAUAGCAUAAAAGACUCUUCAUUCAUGUAUAAGGAACAUUGCUAAAGUAAAUCAGAGCAUCGCAAGACUUACUCCACAAUACCGGUUCUGCCUGUCCUAUCAACGGAGGGUGGACUAUAUAAGAAUCAACGAAGCAGUCACUAUCGUGAACUACCACACAACCCGGCCAAUAGGAUACAUUUACAGAUAAAUAACAUCUAAGCACCACGCUCACAUGUGAUCUAUCACCUAACUCCCUCGCGUCAAGAGCUAAGCGCUUUGCAAACUUAUACAUAAACUCAUUAUCAAUCAUAACUAUAUCAAAUAUAGAGCUAGAGCAAACGAAGAACAUAAUAAUUAGAGACAUAAUGCAAUUAGAACAAAGAAUUAGAGAAAGAUAUGAAUAAUACCAAUCUUUAUUACCGAAGAUCCGAAUCCAGAGCGUAGUGCUCUACUUCUCUAAUUGCUAUCUAAUCAAACCUCUAAACUUGAAGGAUUAGGGAGUAGCUAAUUCUAAUUCUCUGUGGGAGAGAAGCUCUAAACCCUAACUUUGAUGGCUACCUCUGAAUAAUGAUUUCUUCUCUUCUCCUCUCUCCUCCAGGGGUGGAGAGGCCUUGGUUUUAUAGUCUCUUCAAGUGAAUGUGGGCCGUCGGAUCAAACCGACAUUGAUUGUAUGGUUUAGAUUGAUCCUUUAGGUCGGUGGAGUUUAGCCCCGAAGCAGAGUCCUGAUCCAACUCCUGGCCAGGGCGGGCGCCCUGCCCCCGAGCCCGAUCCUCUUCUCGUUCGUUCCCGUGGCUUCUGGACUCUUCUAGAUUGAAGAAAAUUGCGCGGCACGUAAUUAUCUCGUUGUAAACAUGACAUGUGGGCCUUCUCUCCAUAUUCUCUGAUAACCCCUGUAGAAAUAGAUAAACACCAAAGCUCGUGGAAUUCUGUCAGAUAAAACACUAAUUCUAGAUGUUUGGUGCAUAUUGAUCCUUUUCCUUGUUUAUUUGAUUAUUAAUUUUAGUACUUAAGGACCGUCAACAAACUCCCCCAAGCUUACCCUUUGCUCAUCUCUGACCAAAUAGCUAAACUCAGACGGAUCAGAAGUUGCUUCGAUGUUUACUUUUCUGACAGGCACACAUGCUUUUAUAUAAAAUUCUUCCAGAUUAGAGUGAAGUAUUAUGGAGCUUAGUACCUGCACUCAAGUCUUAGGUAAUCGAAAGACAAAAUAAUUAAGCCAAGCACUAUUCCUCCUGUCUAUACUUCACCUUUGUUCCAGAGUUUUUCAUAUGUUUUCAAAAUAAAACUCAGAGUUCCCAGCAAUGAUUCUCUCAAGUCUCUCUAUAUGUGGUAUUUGUGGAUCCUUACCAUAAUGUCACUUACCUAUAGCUAAUGGAAUAUUUAAGUGGAGCUCAUAGGAGUGAAAACAGCUCGUACAUAUGUUGUCUAAACGAGCCAUGGAUCCAAAGGAACUCAACAUAUAAUUAAAUCAAGAUGUGCAUGUGUGGUGGAGUAAAAUGAUAGUGAUGGUGAAGAUAUAUAAGUGAUAAUAAAACUUAAUUCUCAUUGCUCCUCAUAUUGCUAUCUCUCCUCUUCUUUGAUCUUUGCUUUGGGAGAACAUGGGCUAUCUUUUUCUCUUUUUUUUUCAGGUGGGUAGUAGAUACCCUUAAUUCUACUGUCGGACACUUGUCCAUUUUUUCCGCUCAAGUGGGCAUCUUUGUACCCCUAAUUCUACUUCGGACACUUGUCCAUUUUUACCUCUCGUCUCACUCUUUUUUCUUUCUUUUUCGAGGUUCCGGGCACUUGUCCCUUUUUAUUUCUUCGCAUAUUUUUUUAUAACCCAUGCUCUUCUGCACUGAAUCUUUUUAGAGAGAGAGAAUAACAAUACUUGGGACAGUGAGUGAUAAUAUUUUUAGCAAUUUUAAAGCAUGAUGAUGGAUGGUGUAGUGGAUGUGUGCAAGUGAAUAUCUUAAUUUAACCACAUGAAAAGCUCCUAAGGAUCUACACAGCUCGAUCAAACUCAAUGUAAGUGUAGUAAAAGAUGUUAUAACAAGUAUGGCUGUGGUAGGUAGUUUGUUAUGCUAGGAACUCAUCAUGUGAUUUGUAAGUUUUCAAAAUAAAUCUCCAAAACUUAGUGUAGUAGGAACAAGAUAAACAGUAGCUCAACUUUAUAUCAUGCCUUUCGCUUACCUAGACUUUUAGUUUUAUGCUUCCCAUAGAUAGUAAAUUCAGUUUUAGUAAUUCCUGGAAGAACUCUAAUAUAGAAGCUAGGUACUGAGCAACUGUUCAUCAUUUCCAUCAUGCAUCUUUUUGGUCUUUUUUUAUUUUUCUAGAGAUUAAUACUUAGCAGAUAAAUAAAGCACACUUAUCUACACACUCUUUUUAUUUUGUUUUCAUGUUUAUAAAAUGUAAUAAAAUAAAGAAAAUAUUUAUUGGAUUUUCUAAGUUUUUCUUUUUAAGAUAAAUAAACACUAAAAUAGAAAAGAAUAAAUAAGAAGAGCAAAUAAAAACUUACUUGAUAAAUUGGGGAGGAACUCCCCCAAGCUGGAUGUUGCUGUCGGUCUUACCCGAUAUUCCAGAACCGCACCAUGGUUGUGAUGUUGUCGUUUAUUGUAUCUUGUCUCAGCUCUUCUACUGCAGCGGCAUGGUCCUGGUUCCAUUUUUGUUGCUCUUCUAGGAGUCUUCCUUGUUCUGCUUGCGUGUUCUGGAUGUCGAGGAGAGUGUUGUCGGUGCGGGUGAAGAAAGCACCAGCCUCUUGAUAGUAGUCAUUCGUGAAAGCGUAGGAGGCGUCGGAGUAUCGUCCUGCAUCAAAUUGGGGCGGAGGUCUGGAUCCUGAAGCUCCAUAUGGAUCAGUGGAGUACCUACCAGUAUGAGAAGGCGGGUUUGUCCAGUGGCGAUCUUGGCUCUCCGGCCAUGUCUCCUCUGUUGGCUCUUGUGGUUGCGCAUGUCGAACCCAUGGGUCUCGAAGGACUCGGGGGUUGUAGUCGCAAUAAUGCAGGUGCGCUGCUUCUUCUGGACCGGGAUCAGCUCCAUACCAGGUGCGUUCUCGAUGGGUGGUCAUCCUUUCAGAUGCCACUCGCUGUGGAGCUCUCUGGUUUACUGGUGUUGCUGCAAUCUCAAUCAAAAUGUUUUGAACAACGUAGAGGCCAAGGUUCGGGUUAGGUAACCGAAUCUUACCUUUAUCAUCAUAUAGCAUAUAAAUUAUAUUCCCUCUUUCUUUAACAUCCGAGCUUGUCUAAAUGUGUCAUAGCCAUGGUAAAUUCUUAACUCAUCUAUGAAUUCCAACGACGAGUUUUCUAGCAAGUGAAGAUUGGAGGCUAGACGAGUGAUAAGUGAAGUACAUCCUACUGGUCCCUGAAGACUAGGUACACUAAGCCAAUGAGAAACUAAAAGUGUAACAGGUGAAGUGGGUACUUUAUUAAUGGCAGCAUAUAAAAGUUGCAAAUCUCCUACUCUUACUUUCCUAAUAUCAUCGCGAUAGAAAAGAAAUUCGGUAGGUCGGAGUCAAUGUUUAGGAUGCAUCUUGAAGAGAAACCAAGAUGGUCGCUUAGCUCUCUCCAAGACAACAUAAUUUCCUGUUUGAACAUCCGAAAAACAAUUCCCCCCUCAUAAUAUUGUAAGGUUCAAAGAAAUUCGAGGGUGAGAAGACGAGAACCCAGCUCAGUUAUAUUCCAAAAAUUUGUCCAACCUAUCAUCUGGAAAAUUAAGUCGAAUUUAGUGUCCAUACCUGUUUCUUGUAGUAAGAUUGGAUCAAGAGUAGGGGUGUGAAUGAAAUCUUUGUUCUUCAAUUGCUGAUAUACUUCCUUCUCUCUUCGGGUCUUUAGUCCUAGGUCUCCUAUCUUGAGAAGGACCUUGACUUGCUGACCAGAUGAAGAUGACGGAGCUUGUGUGGGUGUCGGGUCGAUGCUCAUCUCUGAUGGGUGUGAGGAGUGUCGAGAUGAACUCCUUGUACCAAUGUUCUUGAGAGCCUUCCCUGUGUUCUUCACCUUCUUAAACAUCCUGUAAACAAAAGUUGGCAAAAACACAACUAGUGGAAAAUGUGAGAGAAAAUGUUAGUGGUCAGCUGUCCGGAAUGUCAGUAGUCCAGGGGUUAGUCGUUCAAGAUAAGUUUCUAUUUUGGUAGAACCUCCCCCUAACAACUUUUACUUCCGCUUGGACAGCGGGAUUACUACUCAUUAGGUGAAACUCACUCUCUCACUCCAAAACUACCAACUUCUUUCCCACUCUUCCCUUUCUCUCUACUCUCUUCUCACUUCACUACAAGAGCUCCUUCUCGGGAAACUGAAACUUGUGUGGUUUUCUGGAGUGUUUGUGUGAAGAAGAUGGAGGUAGAAGGUAGCUAUUUAUAGGAGGAAGAGGGGGCAGGCGGGCGCCCUUGGUAGGUGGGCGGGCGCCCACCUUUGGUGCCCAUUCUGGCUGCCCUUUCUCUGGUCCCUUCUCAGCUUGAUUCUCACGCAAAAUAAUGCAUCAUGGGUGGUGGUUGGCCGGUGGAAAAGUGCUGGUUAGUGGAGACAUGUUGGUGGAUGAAAUAAUGUGAUGGGAUGUAUGUGAGGUGUGGUGUAUGACAUGUGGGACCCAAGGAGUGUGGGUCAUGCUUCUAGAAGCUUGCUAUAAUUAAAUAUAAUGCAGGAAAAUCUCUGAGAAUUGAAACUUAAUUAAAAUGAUAAUGGAAAAUAUUUUUGUGCCUUCACAAUAAUUAAUAAAUAUGGGUUGUUACACACCAUGAAUAUUAUUUAUAUGGGGCUUUUGAUUAUUAUGAUAAUGCUAUGACUAAUGCAAGAAUUAUGCAAGAAUUUAAAUAUGAGAAAAUUAAUAAUGCGGAUAAAUACUGAUUUACCUCCCGGUGAGGGUUUGGGAUUUUUUGGUCCCCCAAGCUGGACCUCCAAAUCUUUUAGUCUUAUGAGUUACCUUCCUCUGGAGAUGGUGUCUCCAGUGGUUCUUCAUGAACUUCCUUCACUGUAGAGUCUCUCUCUGGUCUGGGUUUGAAUGUGAAGUGUUCUUCUUUUUCGUUUAUGUUGAACUUGAUUUCUCCUUUCCCGACAUCAAUGUGGGCAUUGGUAGUGCUCAGAAAUGGCCUUCCAAGGAUGAUGGACACUUUUGAGUCAGGACUCAUAUCCAGUACUACGAAGUCUACUGGCACCAGGAAAUCUCUGAUCUUGACUGGAAUGUUUUCAGCGAUGCCCAAUGGAUGUCGAACCGAUUGAUCCACUAGUUGUAGGCACAUUGAUGUUGGUUCUAGGGUCGCAUGCUCAAGCUUUUUGUAGAUUGAUGCUGGCAUCACACUGACACUUGCUCCGAGAUCACAAAGUGCAUUGUUGAAGUGUUGGUUUCCGAUCGAGCAGUCAAUAGUGGGACAUCCGGGAUCUUCCUUCUUCUUUGGUGGUUUAUUGAGGAUGGCCGCACUACAUUCUUCUGUCAGCUUGAUAACCUCAGUGGUGGGCAGUGGUCUCCUCUUGUUAAGAAUAUCUCUGCUGUACUUUGCAUAUGUAGGUACCUGUAUGGCAUCGAGCAGAGGUAUGUUGACAUAUAAUUUCUGAAUGACCUCUACAAACUUACCUAACUGCUCAUCCGACUGCAGUCCUCUGUUUCUUCUGGGAAAUGGCAAAUAGUUGGUGUCGUAAAAAUCUUUCCUCAUUUCUCCAGUUCUUGGUGGUUGUAGCAGAUCUUCUGCUUCAACUAGGCUUUCUUCUUCUAACACUGCUGGUUGCACUGGUGCUGAUGUUCUUUGUUUCUCUUUUGGGUAUGGGGGAUCUCUGGUGGCUUUGCCUCCUCUAGUAGUUAUGUUCUUUACCUGCUCAAUGUUAGUAGCAACAGGCAGUGCAACAGCUAUUUUUAUUAAUUUAAGCUCUACCCUUUUAUUAAGAGUGUUUUACUCAUCAAAGGCAGUUAAUAGAAAAUCCAUUUUAUUGUGUAUAUCUUUUAGAGAUGAUUCAUUUGUAUCUAGCCUUUGUUUAACUUCAUCAUUAAUUUUGGUUUGUUGAGCAAUUAUCUCUUUUAAUGAAAGUUGCUUGAAAGUAUUACCUGAAUUCAUACCUUUGCUAUUGGGUUGACUCGAAGUUGGUUGAUAUUUGUGCUGUCUCAAUGGCCUUUUGAUAUUCUUUGAACUUGGUCCUCUGGUCAGUCCAAUGGAGCAAAUUUUCCAUCUUAGUUGAUAAUGCAUUUACUUCUUCUGGUAUUUCUUCAGUUUGAUGACAUUGUUGAGCUUUAUCUUGGAACCAGCUUUGAUUUUCUGCUAUCUUAUCCAAAAGUAUCUCUGCUUUUCCAGUUGUAAGCUCCAAGAAUCAUCCUUUAGCAGAUGCAUCUAGGCACUCACGAGCCUUCUGGGUUAAUCCAUGGUAGAAGGUCUGCAUAAGUAACCAUGUAGCCAUUCCAUGGUGAGGACAAUCGGAAAUGUAUCCUUGAAAAUGCUCCCAUGCUUCUGAAAUGGUUUCUAUCUUCUGCUGUUGGAAACUGACAAUAUUUCCUCUUAAGGCAGUUGUUUUGCCUAUAGGGAAAAACUUUGAUAGAAAGGCAUCUGACAAGUUCAUCCAGUUGUUGAUGUUAUCUUGAUGAGUGUAGAACCACUUCCUCGCUUUCCCUUCUAGUGAGAAUGGAAAAAGGCGAAGUAGUAUGAUGUCUUUGUCAACUCCGUUGAUAUGGAUUGUGCUUCCAAUCUCUAAGAAAUUCUGCAAGUGUGCACUAGCAUCUUCAUGUGCCUUUCCACUGAAUUGUGUAGCUUGCACCAAAUUGAUGAGGCUUGACUUGAGCUCAAACUCGGGUACCCCUUCUUCUACUACAAAUCUUGGACAAGUUGGAAUGUUCU
rnacentral:lncRNA from 1 species